rnacentral:rRNA from 1 species
UACGUAGGGUGCAAGCGUUAAUCGGAAUUACUGGGCGUAAAGCGUGCGCAGGCGGUUUUUUAAGUCCGAUGUGAAAUCCCCGGGCUUAACCUGGGAACUGCGUUUGAAACUACAAGGCUAGAGUGUGGCAGAGGGGGGUGGAAUUCCACGUGUAGCAGUGAAAUGCGUAGAGAUGUGGAGGAACACCGAUGGCGAAGGCAGCCCCCUGGGUUAACACUGACGCUCAGGCACGAAAGCGUGGGGAGCAAACAGG